rnacentral:rRNA from 1 species
UUGACCUCAGAUCAGGUAGGACUACCGCCUGAACUUAAGCAUAUCAAUAAGGCGAGGAACAGAAACCAACAGGGAUUCCCCUAGUAGUGGCGAAUGAAGCGGGAAAAGCUCAAGUUUGAAAUCUGGUGGGCUCAUCCCCUCAGAGUUGUAAGCUGAAGAGGCAUCGACCGACGUUGUCCGGACCCAAUUUCCUUGGAACAGGAAGUCAUGGAGGGUGAGAACCCCGUCUGUGGCUCGGAGCCUUCGUCCUUGUGUCGUGUCCUCGAAGAGUCGGGUUGUUUGGGAAUGCAGCUCAAAAUGGGUGGUAAAUUCCAUCUAAGGCUAAAUAUUGGCGAGAGACCGAUAGCAAACAAGUAGAGUGAUCGAAAGAUGAGAAGUACUUUGAAAAGAGAGUGAAACAGUACGUGAAAUUGUUGAAAGGGAAGCGUUUGGCAUCAGCCCAUGGCGUUCAUUGAUCAUCCAGGCUUCUGCCUGGUGCACUUGAUGGACGUCGGGCCAGCGUCGGCUUUGCCCGCCGGAUAAAGGUCUUGGGGAUGUGGCUCCCUUCGGGGUGCGUUAUAACCCUCGACGUCAUGCGGUGUGGUGGGGCCGAGGUCCGCG